rnacentral:rRNA from 1 species
CGCGCAGGCGGGCCGGCAAGUUGGAAGUGAAAUCCGGGGGCUUAACCCCCGAACUGCUUUCAAAACUGCUGGUCUUGAGUGAUGGAGAGGCAGGCGGAAUUCCGUGUGUAGCGGUGAAAUGCGUAGAUAUACGGAGGAACACCAGUGGCGAAGGCGGCCUGCUGGACAUUAACUGACGCUGAGGCGCGAAAGCGUGGGGAGCAAACA